UGCAGAGUUCAUCCCAGACAUCCACGCCACCACAGCCACUUUAUCACACACCCAAACACAAAGAUUUGGGUGAAUGCUCUCAGUAAAAAUUAUGAGCUGAUACGGUGGAGGUGGGGAGGGGAGGGAAGUUCACCUGUUCAAAAAAUAUUUUCUGAGAGGUUAUUAUGGGUCAGGCAAUCUAUUCUGAGUAAAGCAGCUAUUUUGCAUAGAAAUAAACCAAUCUUCUUAAGAGGUUCAAGAACUGUUGUGCACUUUGGUUGGCGAGUCCUGAAAGCUUUUGUAACAUCACAUCUUUCUCGUGUUUGUAGACACUUUAUUUCUUUCCUUGAAUCGGGGAGAGGGAAAGGAGACAGGCAGAGACAGACAUACAGAAAGGGAAUCACCUUCGUAACGUUUUCAGAAACAAGAGGUCUGAGUAGGAAGAAGGCAGGACCGGGCGAGUGCGACUUGGCGUGGGACCUGAACUUGGGAUUUCAGCCUGAAACCUCCGGCCAGGGCUUUCGCGGUCUCAAGACUCGGGACCCGGACACCCGCCCCUUGCACCGCCCACUGCACGCCUCCACUCGGGACCGGCUCCCGCUCAGCUCCCUGCCCACCCAGCCCUGCCUCCCGGGGUCCACCUGGAGCGCCAGAGCUAGGGCUCGAUCCCCGGAAUCAACCGCUCAGCCUGGGCUCUCCAGAUCCCCUGGGCUGCAUCUCGUCCUGGAACCGUAGCUGCUCCCACUAACCUUUGGAAGAGAGAAAAAACUGUUCCAGACCUUUCUGUGUACCUCAGGUGUGGGAGGAAAGGACAUGAGCUUGUGUUAGAAGGUGUAGACAUUAGGUUCCUCAAGGAGAAAGACUGAUCCGAGAACUCUGAGCCCUUCAGCCCCCACUAAACCCCAGCCGCCGGCAUUGGUCCUUGGGGAAGUGGCCGCCAGGAGGGUCGGUGCGUCGGACUGGUAACAUGGCCGAGGCAGCGCUAGACGCCGAGCUCGCUAUAGGCUCUCUCUCCCAGGAUCGGAUAGAUGAUUCAUUUUUAUAUGUAAUGUUUUACUCCACUCUAUAGCUCCGACUGGUUAAUGUUCAACCCCGGGGCUUGGAGGGGCAGCUUGGAGGGAGGCAGCCAGGGAAGACCCAUUCAAGGUAUAUGGCCGCUUGGGAGCGAAGGCGAAGAAGCCCCAGAGAGGGUGAGGGGGAUGCGGUGGGGCGGGGUUGGGGGUCUCCUCCUGCCAGGGCCUCCCUAAGCGGAUUCCCAGAGGGCAGAGAAGCAGGCGGAUCCGCGGUCAGAGCCCAGCGCGUCCCUGGAAGCGCAGCCGGGAGGCCGCGCCCUGGCCGGGCCCCGACCGCCCACGACGCCGCCGCCCAGGCCCUGAGCGGCGCGUGCAGGGGCGGCAGGCGCUUCGGCCCAGCGGGACUCUAAGGGCAGGCUGUGGCGCCCUGGCCGCCUGGGUCCGACGCUCGCCCGGGGCGGCAGGCAGACGAGGCACGCCGCGGGAGGCGGGGGGGAGGGGGGCGGGCGGCGGCAGCUGCGGAUUAGAUUCCAGUUUUGUUGUCCGGAGGGACCCGAGAAGAGUCCCCGGAGGUGCGUAGGUUGCCCUCUGGGCCGCCGCUUCUCCGGGUGCCUCUGAAAAUACCGUCAGGGUCAUGCGAGGCGGCACGUCUGGCCACC
rnacentral:lncRNA from 1 species